AGGGAUUAAGUUAUACACAUUGAGGUAAAAAGGCAGUUAAAUACUUAAAUUACUAGUUUAUUAAUUUUUAUAUAUAAAAGUAAAAUUUGAACAUAAAUAAAUAAUUUAAUUUAAGCUAUUAUAUUGACUCUGCGACAUCCUUGAGGGAAACUGGGAUUAGAUACCCCAUUAUUCSCCAGAGUACUAUGAAUUGUAUAAUGAAAUUUAAAACUCAAAGGGCUUGGCGGUGUUUUAGACCUCUCAGGGGAACCUGUCUCAUAAUCGACAGUCCACGUUAAACCUUACCUUUUUUUGCGAUCAGUAUGUAUACCGUUGUCGUCAGGUAACUUUUUAGAAACUAGAAGUUAGCGACAAAAUUAUAAUAAAUUAAGACGUCAGAUCAAGGUGCAACCUAUAAAAAGGUGAAGAUGGGUUACAAUUAUAAAUUAUAAUUACGGAUGAUUAAUGAAAUUUAUAUCAUGAAGGAGGACUUGAAAGUAAAAAGAAAUUAUAUAAAUAACUUGAAUAAGGCUCUGAAACAUGC
rnacentral:rRNA from 1 species